CUUUUGGUUCUAUUAAGCAUUCAAUCAGAUACCAAACUGGAAUAGGCCAUGCAAACUGCUGAAUAAGCUUUUGAGAAUGUACCUGGUCUACAGGAAAAGUGCAGCUUUAAGCUGGUCUGAUAUUUCAGAUCAUAAAUUGAGCCAAGAGCAUGUGAAGUUUGAUCAAGCUUUAGUAUAUUGGAUGUGCUGUUGCUUGGACAUUGUUUAUCAGAUGUUGCCUACUCGAGAAAGAGAGGACUGCAAACAACAUGGGAACACUCUAACAGAUUAAUAGGAAACUUAAGUGGAAUGUCAAAUACCAUGUGAGGCUUGGUUUGGAUAGCACUGGUUCCUGCUAGAUCACUUCAGAGCCGAAAAGCACCUGUCUGAUGUCGCUAUGAAGAAUGGGACCAGGGCCGUCCCGAGGGGGGUGCUAGGCCCGGGGCGGAAAUGAUGAAUCCAUCACUUCCAGGACCGACCCGUCACAUCCGGGACUGACCGCGCUGGAGCCCGGCACAGUUGCCCCAAUUCGCCGUACCCAAGGGACAGCUCUGACUGGGGCUAAGGGAGCCAAUUUGUUUCUGUCAUUGGCAGCAGCUUCCAGAAUUUGACGCUAGGCAGAAUGCAGAGAAAUUCCAGACUGCUAGCCUGGGCUCUGUCCGUGUGUUCAGGUGAAUCGAUUUGGUGAACAUGACAUGAAUUCAUGAAUAUCUGUGUGUCGACAGAAACUGCAUUUUUUGGUGAAUAAACUGUUUGCCAAAAUAAUUUUGCUCAGCUCUACUUCUGGACCUCCAUUACCAUUCUGCUUUCCCACUUGGUG